UAUGGUCAAAUCAUGCUGAAAACACCAGUUUUCAUUUGAUUACUGAAGUUAAGCAGUGUUGAGCCUGGUCAGUAAUUAAAUGGGGGUUCCGCUUGGGAACAUCAUGUACUGUAAG